UUAAUUAUUUUUUCAGUUAAUAGAUUCUACUGUAUUUGUUCCUGCUAGAUUGAUUUCAAUUAUCGGUAUCAUGAUGCCUAGGGAUUGUAUCACUAGUAGAAAAAAUCAAAUAGGCACCCCCCCUUUAGCAUCGGUUCUUGAAAACCGGUGCCAAAAGAAAUGGGCGGAAUUGGAAAAUAGGGAGUUGGCACCGGUUCCAACCAAAACCGGUGCCAACUUAUUUAAUUAGCACUGGUUCAAACCGCUGCCAACCUUUAAGAAAAAAAAAAAAAAAAACCAAGGAAAGCAAUAGAGUUGGCACCGGUUCGCCUUAAACCGGUGCCAACUAUAGUAAUUAGCACCGAUUUGAAUUGGUGCCAUUAAAAAAAAAAAAAAAGCCCGGUUUAUAAUGCGCGUUUUCUUCUUCAUUUCCUUGAUCUUUCCGCUUCUCAUCUGAUCUUCCUCUCUCUCCUCCAUUGUAGCGUAUUCGAAUAUCUCCAUUGAUGGGGCUUCUGAGCUUUCUCUCAGCACUUUCCUAACACUCCUUCUCUGUCCUUCGAUCUCCUUCUCCAUAAGCGCCACUUUCCCUUUCCUUUCUCCUUUCUUUCGAUCUCCUUCUCCUUUUCCUUCUCUUUUUCUACAAUAUUGGAGGUUAGGGUUUCUGGGUGCGUCUAUUUUGAAUCAAUCAUGUGCGUGUGUCUUCGACAACAACAAAUUCGAAUCAAUUUCGAACCAAAAAUCAGAAAUUCGAGGUUAGGGUUUCUGGGUUAUUUAGCUUUGCGUUAUAUUGUAGCAGUUCUGAGCUUUCUCCUCCAUUGAAACAACUUCUGAGAUCUGAAGCUGUGCCGAUUUAUAUAUGGGCGAAGUUAAGCAAGAAAUAACUAAUGAGGUGAACACAGACGCUGGUUGCUUCGGGGAUGACAGAAUUGGUUUGGGAGGUGUUAUGCAUGACAGUAUGGGUGAAGUGAUGCCUGCUACCUACACAACUAUGAGAGGUAGUGGCAGUGUUGAUGUUGUGGAAGCACUUGCAGCAAGGCACUAUCUCAAGAUAGCCCUUGAUGCUUGACUGGAUAUGAUCAAAGUUUUGUCUGAUAAUAUAUCAAUCUUUGCAUGCAUCUGAAGAAGAAGUAUAUGGAGUGUAAUCAGUUUGGACUAAUUGUGAAGGAUAUCCUUGAAUUAGCUAAGUAUUGUUUCUCAUUUUCUGUUUCUCAUGUCGGUAUAUAUAUACUUGUAUAUAUAUUUUUGUUUAGACUUGGCACUUGUUUCACUAAGCUUUUUGGUUGUAUAGGUGCAAUAUAUGAGCAAACUUUGAGAUGAUGUUUUGAAAUGUAGUUUAAUGUUGGGUGUUAUAUGUUAAAGGGUGGCUAAAGGUUUGUCUCAGGACUCUUAAGUGCAGAAGUUAGCUUUUCAGCAUUGUAUUGAAGCUGUAAUGUUCAUCACUUUUAGUUUUUA